CCUACGGGAGGCUGCAGUGGGGGCUAUUGCACAAUGGGGGAAACCCUGAUGCAGCGACGCCGCGUGUAGGAAGACGGUCCUCUGGAUUGUAAACUACUGUCCCCAGGGACGAAGAUGACGGUACCUGGGGAGGAAGCUCCGGCUAACUACGUUCCAGCAGCCGCGGUAAUACGUAUGGAGCGAGGGUUGUCCGGAAUUACUGGGUGUAAAGGGAGCGUAGGCGGGGAUGAAAGUUGGGUGUUAAAUCUACCGGCUAAACUGGUAGUCGCACGGAAUACUGCAGCUCUUGAGGGAAGGAGAGGCAGGCGGAAUUCCUAGUGUAGCGGUGAAAUGCGUAGAUAUUAGGAGGAACACCAGUGGCGAAGGCGGCCUGCUGGGCUUUUACUGACGCUGAGGCUCGAAAGUGUGGGGAGCAAACAGGAUUAGAUACCCGUGUAGUC
rnacentral:rRNA from 1 species